rnacentral:lncRNA from 1 species
GUUUUGAAUCCCAGCAGGAAUAGCUAAAUGGUUUAACCAAACUGGCUUCAUAAGAAGUUUAGGAUUUAGCUCAAAAAGCAGUUAAUAGCCUUAUCUCUAUUUUGAAAUCAAAAAUAAUUUUUUUCUAAACUCCUUCCUAGGACCAUUUAGGUGUCCCCCUUAAAAGGAGAAAGAGCUCAUUGAAAUAUUUGUUUGGGCUUUACUUCUGUUCCACCUCUUAAUUGAAAUAUUUAGUUGUGAAACCGAAAGCCUCUGCCUGAGUUUUCUUAAUUCAGCAACUUGACAGUUUGACUGAUGUGCAUUAUGUAUAGCUCAAUUAUGUCUGUUUUUUAUGCUAAGUAGGCAAACCAACCACACACACGUUAGCAA